UAGUCCACGCCGUAAACGAUGAAUGCUAGGUGUUGGGUGUCAAAGCUCGGUGCCGAAGUUAACACAUUAAGCAUUCCGCCUGGGGAGUACGCACGCAAGUGUGAAACUCAAAGGAAUUGACGGGGACCCGCACAAGCAGCGGAGCAUGUGGUUUAAUUCGAUGCAACGCGAAGAACCUUACCAGGGCUUGACAUGUGGGUGAAAGGUAUAGAGAUAUACCCCUCUCUUUAUGAGACAUCCAUAC
rnacentral:rRNA from 1 species